rnacentral:rRNA from 1 species
AUGCUGGAGAAGGCCGACCUGACGGGGACAGGAUGUGACGGGAUGGCCUUCUUCGUUGCGCAUUUCCCUUCAGAGAUCUCGCCCAGCAGCAAAGGCGGCGGCCUCGGCCUCCUCCCGGCCUUCACCAACAGGACGGGUCGCACCCGCGUCGUGGCCGUGGAGUUUGACACUCUCCGCAACUCGCACUAUGCCGACAUCAACGGCAACCAUAUCGGCAGCAACAUCAGCUCCAUCAACUUCGUGGCGUCCACGGACACGAGGACGAGGCCGGGCAGGAACCUCACGUCAUCCUAUGUUAUGGAGGCCACUGUGAGGUACCAUAACGAGUCCCGGAUGCUGGCCGUUGAUCUCCUCAUCGACGAUGCCUUGUACCAGGCCAAUGCAACCGUCGAUCUCAGCACAUGCUUACCGGAGGAGGUCGCUGCCGGCUUCUCCACCACGACCGGCGACGCCUCCGAGCUGCACCAGAUACUGUCAUGGUCAUUUAGCUCCACUCUACCUCCUCUUCCGACUAGGAACAACCACAAAAAGCUAGUAAUGAUCCUACUAUCCGUGCUAGUCCCAUUUCUCCUUUUAUUAGUGCGUGCGGCCGUGGUGCUAUGGCGGCGCCGCAAGAAAAUGAGAGCAAAUAAGAACAGCCAAGAACGGUGUGUCAACAGAGCUGAUCUUGAGAGAGGUGUGGCUGCCGGCGGUCCCAGACGGUACACCUACCUCGAGCUGGUUGCGGCAACAAAACACUUCGCGGAGGAGGAGAAGCUCGGGCGAGGCGGCUUCGGUAGCGUUUACCGGGGUCAUCUCACGCUCACACCCGCAACCACCGACCAUCGUGUGGUGGCGGUCAAGAUGUUGUUGGCGGAGUCAUCGGCGCAUGGGAGGAAGGAGUUCGAGGCCGAGGAGAGGAUCAUCAGCAGAUUGAAGCAUCGAAACCUUGUGCAACUGUUGGGUUGGUGCGACAGCCACAAGGGUCUUCUGCUUGUCUACGAGCUCGUCACAGAGGGCAGCAUAGACAGGCACCUCUACAGCAAGGACGGCAAGUAUCUGACAUGGCCACAGAGGUACAAGAUAAUCCUUGGCUUGGGAUCUGCGCUACACUACCUCCAUGGAGAGUGGGAGCAGUGCAUCGUGCACACCGACAUUAAGCCCGGCAACAUCAUGCUUGACUCGUCCAUGAGCACCAAGCUCGGGGACUUCGGUUUAGCCCGGCUCAUGGACCACGACACGGGGUUGCUGCAGACCACCAAGGCCGUGCUCGGCACCGUAGUCUACAUCGACCCGGAGUUCGUCAACACGCGUCGACCGUGCACCGAGUCGGGCGUUUACAGCUUCAGUGUCGUCCUCUUGGAGAUCGUAUCUGGCCGGCGGCCGGUGAUGGAGACCGCGGGGAAAUCCUUCACACUGGUCAGGUGGGUGUGGGGACUAUACGGCAGGAACAUGAUCCUCGGCGCGGUGGAUGAGCGCCUGAGGGGUGACGAGGCCAAUGACCGGUGGAUGGUGAGGGUGCUCGUCGUUGGGCUCUGGUGCGCGCACCCAGACCGGAGCAAGCGGCCGUCCGUUGCCCAGGCCAUGCACGUCCUGCAGUCCGACGAGGUGAGGCUACCAGCGCUCGCGCUGCACAUGUGGACUGUGCCGGACCCCACAUCAUCCUCUGGCCCAUAUGAGGCCUUCUCCAUUGAUAGCUCCACGUGCAGCUCCAGUUGUGCUCGCUCUUCAUUGGUCAACACCGACGCCGCUAGCCUUUCUUCAGGGUCGUCCUCAACUGCGUUGCUACGACAUUCUAAGGGUCUAGCUAACUGA